rnacentral:misc_RNA from 1 species
UGUGGGAGCGAGCUUGCUCGCGAUGGCGUCAGCCCAGCCAGCAUCAAUGUCAGCUGACCCACCGCCAUCGCGAGCAAGCUCGCUCCCACA